rnacentral:lncRNA from 1 species
AGAAUUCCUAGCACUUGAAGGCCUUGCACUACUUUUUCUGGCAUUGCUUGUUGAACUUUCAUUUGCCGCCUCCUUCAUUCUGAUAAGCUUGGCAUAAAAUCCAUUUUCCCCUUUGGAGAAGAGCUCGUCAUGAGUUCCAAUUUCAAAAACACUUCCUUGUUGAAUCACAGCUACAAGGUCAGCUUUGCGAAUUAUGGAGAGACGAUGCGCAAUUACAAGAGUUGUUCUGAAGCUACAAGGUCAGCUUUGCGAAUUAUGGAGAGACGAUGCGCAAUUACAAGAGUUGUUCUGCCAAUCAUAAACCGGUCAAAUGCUUCUUGCACC